AUGGGGAUUAAUGGGAAUGUAUCCUCUACGAAUUUCUUCCUCACCAGCCUGGUCCAUGGGAUAGGCAUCCAGCCCGAGACUGGAGACUCUCAUGGGCCAUACCCGGAGGGAGUCUAUGGUGCGCACCUUCCUACGACUUCCAUAUGCCCCAGUGGAAAUAGAGCAGCAGUGGGGCUCUACGUAACCCUAAUGAUAUCAGCCUCACCAGGUCGCAUUUCCUCUGGGAUUGCUCCUGACUACGCUGUCUUCGUGCCAGUGCGGGCUGUUGCAUGGCCGACCUUCACGGGACCGCAGGGCAUCCGCAGCGAGGAGGAACCCGCUCCUUCCCCCCUGACUUCACUCAGCUGGAAAACUACGAGGUGCCAUUUGUCUCACACAGUGUCCCAGGGCAAUGGACCCUGGCGUGCCCAGCGCCCGGCAUCUCCAUCAGAUGCAGCUUUGAUGGUGUACCAUCUUCAUGGUGAGGCCUUGUCCACAGCCACGGACUUUCAGGCGGGAUUUGCUGCUCAGCUGAUGACCUUUCUCUGGCUCUCAGAGAAGGCACGGAGAGGUCUGCUAGAGCCCAGGAUGGCAGGAAAGCUUUGUUCCUGCCACGGAAAAGGUUGUGCAGAAGAAAUCUCUCAGUCCUGAUAGAGCCAGAGGUAAUUAUAGUUUCUUUUUCUUCGAUUCAUGAAUCGAUAAGGCAAAUAUUAAGAACAUUUUUGCAUUUUUUCCCUCCUCCUCUUUUAUUAAGUGAAACUCUGCCUUUACAGCUUGGGGAUGUUCUCCUGAAAAAGUAAAGAUGGAUGGCCUUCCCUGAUAAGCUUUCCUAGCAAUCAGACAGGCAUUCUUUCCCUGCACCUGGAGAUCAUGAUNNNNNNNNNNNNNNNNNNNNNGCCCGUGGGUCGCUGAGAUGACGUUGCAUAUGCCGUACCUUGAGCUGAACUUAAUUUAAGCAAGCUAGCACAAAACAAGGGCGACUUCUGCGCAGGUCUUUUUCUUAGAUAUACUUACUAAAGGGUUUGCAGUUUUCAGAAAAAGAGGGAUGCAUGUGGGGGAAUGUCAUUCAUCUUUGAAUUAGACUUGAUGUUUACGAUAUGUACAGCCUUUUUCAUAAUUCUCAAGGUAUGGACUACAGGAAGCUUAUUAACUGAACAGUAUUGGAAACGGUAGCUUUUUAUGCUGACGGAAUCCUUUUUGAACUUCUGUGUUUAAGCCAAACUGAAGUUUUACUUUAAUCUAUGUGCCUAUGCAUUUCUUGCCGGCAGUUUUCAGAUCUCUCAGUUGUCGAAAAAUUGCCUACUAUGCUUCAGAGAGUUUUGGUAUAAUGACCCACAUUAUUAUCCACUUCACCAACAGUGGGCUCUUGAACACAUAAUUUAAAAACUCCAGUAACACUGUUAGAGUGUAAACACCAGCCUUAUUGAUUUGAAAAAUUCUUUUUUCUGAAAUCGGACUUUUUUUUUUUUUAAAGACCAUGCUAAAGCAGAAAGAAGUUUAAAGGCUCUUGUGAGUUUUUCACUCACACUUCCCUAUAGCUUGUAAUAGCUCUCUUUCUUCCAAACCCUGAAAUCCACAGAAGAGAGCAGAAAUACUUGUUAUUGACCUGAAUUAGGAUAAAAGGAAGAGAGAAGAUAAGAUCAUAGCCGUCGGCACUUUGUUUAUGAAAACAUCAUUUUAACGAUGUGCUUGAAUCAGGCAAAAGUAAUGCGCCUCCCUCCUCUUCCAGCAUAUUUGAAAUGCCAGCCUGAUCGGACCUAGAGAGCAAUGCCCAGAAUUAGGGCAUUACCUUUCCUGUAUGCUGGUGUUGUGCAGGAUGGCAUCAUUUAAUCGUGAUGGUUUUUCUUCAUUAUUUUAGAAAUACUCACGAUAAUAAAAUAAAAAUAUACAGAUGUAUACCUAUAAGA
ensembl:lncRNA